rnacentral:rRNA from 1 species
UACGUAGGGGGCAAGCGUUAUCCGGAUUUACUGGGUGUAAAGGGAGCGUAGACGGGAUGGCAAGUCUGAAGUGAAAGCCCGGGGCUCAACUCCGGGACUGCAUUGGAAACUGUCAAUCUUGAGUGCAGGAGGGGUAAGCGGAAUUCCUAGUGUAGCGGUGAAAUGCGUAGAUAUUAGGAGGAACACCGGUGGCGAAGGCGGCUUACUGGACUGUAACUGACGUUGAGGCUCGAAAGCGUGGGGAGCAAAC